GCACGUAGUUAGCCGUUGCUUAUGCCUCGAGUACCGUCGGGUGUCUUCCUCGAGAAAGGCGGUUUACGACCCGAAGGCCUUCAUCCCGCACGCGGCGUGGCUGCGUCAGGGUUUCCCCCAUUGCGCAAAAUUCCUAACUGCUGCCUCCCGUAGGAGUCUGGGCCGUGUCUCAGUCCCAGUCUGGCUGGCCAUCCUCUCAGACCAGCUACGGAUCGAAGCCUUGGUGGGCCAUUACCUCACCAACUAGCUAAUCCGCCGCAGGCUCCUCCUAAAGCGUCUUACGACUUUGAGCAUCGAAAACGGAUCGAUGGUCACAUGCGGUAUUAGCGACUCUUUCGAGUCGUUAUCCCCCACUUCAGGGCAGAUCACCUACGUGUUACUCAGCCGUUCGCCACUAGCCUUUCCCCUUGCGGGGAUUGGCUUGUCCGACUUGCAUGUUUUAUGCACGCCGCCAGCGUUUGUC
rnacentral:rRNA from 1 species